rnacentral:rRNA from 1 species
GAUGAACGCUGGCGGCGGGCCUAAUACAUGCAAGUCGAGCGAACAGACGAGGAGUUUGCUUCUCUGACGUUAGCGGCGGACGGGUGAGUAACACGUGGAUAACCUAUCUAUAAGACUGGGAUAACUUCGGGAAACCGGAUCUAAUACCGGAUAAUAUAUUGAACCGCAUGGUUCAAUAGUGAAAGCGGGUUUUGCUGUCACUUAUAGAUGGAUCCGCGCCGGAUUAGCUAGUUGGUAAGGUAACGGCUUACCAAGGCAACGAUGCGUAGCUGACCUGAGAGGGUGAUCGGCCACACUGGAACUGAGACACGGUCCAGACUCCUACGGGAGGCAGCAGUAGGGAAUCUUCCGCAAUGGGCGAAAGCCUGACGGAGCAACGCCGCGUGAGUGAUGAAGGUCUUCGGAUCGUAAAACUCUGUUAUUAGGGAAGAACAAAUGUGUAAGUAACUAUGCACGUCUUGACGGUACCUAAUCAGAAAGCCACGGCUAACUACGUG